GACGAACGCUGGCGGCGUGCUUAACACAUGCAAGUCGAACGAUGAAGAAGGGAAACGCGAACUUCGGUUCAAAUUUCACUUCGGAUUAGUGGCAGACGGGUGAGUAACGCGUGAGCAACCUACCUCUUACAAAGGGAUAGCCUCGGGAAACCGUGAUUAAUACCAUAUGACACAUUCAUAAGGCAUCUUAAGAAUGUUAAAGCUACGGCGGUAAGAGAUGGGCUCGCGUCCCAUUAGCUAGUUGGUGAGGUAACGGCCCACCAAGGCGACGAUGGGUAACCGGCCUGAGAGGGUGAACGGUCACAUUGGAACUGAGACACGGUCCAAACUCCUACGGGAGGCAGCAGUGGGGAAUAUUGCACAAUGGAGGGAACUCUGAUGCAGCGACGCCGCGUGAGCGAUGAAGGAAUUCGUUUCGUAAAGCUCUGUUCUAUGGGAAGAAAAGGACUGUACCAUAGGAGAAAGCCCCGGCUAAAUACGUG
rnacentral:rRNA from 1 species